GUUGGAUUGACUGGAGUGCUGCUACUUAGGAGCUGUAUUUCCUAUGCGUUUCAUCAGGAUCUGGUUUAAGAAUUAAGACUUGGGUUUUGAAGUAUUUGAGCAACUUGCUGCUGCCCAAGUCAUGACGCUCCCGUUUCGAAAGGACUUGGACAAGUACAAAGAUCUCGAUGAGGAUGAAAUUCUUGGCAAACUUUCGGAAGAAGAACUGAAACAACUGGAAACUGUUUUGGAUGAUCUUGACCCUGAGAACGCUCUGCUGCCCGCGGGCUUCCGGCAGAAGGACCAGACUGCAAAAAAGGCCUCGGGUCCCUUCGACCGGGAGCGGCUCCUGGCGUACUUGGAGAAGCAGGCGCUCGAGCACAAGGACAGGGAGGACUAUGUGCCUUUUACAAGAGAAAAGAAAGGGAAAAUAUUUAUCCCCAAGCAAAAGCCUGUACAGUCUUUUGCAGAAGAAAAAUUCACUCUUGAUCCAGAACUGGAGGAAGCCUUGACCAGUGCCACAGACACAGAAUUAGGCGACCUUGCAGCUAUACUGGGGAUGUCCAACUUGAUAACAAACAAUCAGUUCUGUGAUGUAGUAGGAAGCAGUAAUGGGAUUGACAAAGACAGCUUCUCAAAUAUAGUAAAAGGUGAAAAAAUGUUGCCUGUUUUUGAUGAACCACCAAAUCCUACAAAUGUGGAGGAGACACUGCAGAGGAUCAAAGAUAAUGAUUCUCGUCUUGUUGAAGUUAAUCUAAAUAACAUUAAGAACAUACCAAUUCCAACGCUGAAAGAAUUUGCAAAAGCCUUAGAAACCAACACACAUGUGAAGAAUUUUAGCCUGGCAGCCACCCGAAGCAAUGAUCCUGUUGCUGUUGCUCUUGCAGAUAUGCUGAGAGUAAACACAAAAUUAAAAAGUUUAAACAUAGAAUCAAACUUCAUCACUGGAGCUGGAAUCCUGGCACUGGUUGAUGCACUGAAAGACAAUGAAACAUUGACAGAGAUCAAAAUUGAUAAUCAGAGGCAGCAGCUGGGCACACUUGCAGAAGUAGAAAUUGCCAAGAUGCUUGAAGAAAACACCAAGAUCCUCAAAUUUGGAUACCAUUUCACACAACAGGGACCUCGAGCCAGGGCAGCUGCAGCUAUCACAAAAAAUAAUGAUUUGGUCUGGAGUAUGUGAGUAAAAGUUUCUGCACCUUUUCACCUCUCCAGCCGUGACGCUACAGAGACAGGUCACUCUGAAUACCCAGCUGGGCAUUCAGCACUGAAACUGAGAUAUUCCAAGUCUCUCAUCUCUGUCUUUUUCGCAAGAGAAGGGUUGAAGGAGACAAUUAGCAAUCCUGCUGUCAAAACUCGGCGGAGUCAUCACGGUCAGCACUGUGGGCUUUGGCAAUCUUGGACUACACUGACUUGGCUUAGAAGGGAAAAGACUGGAAACCCCAUUCCUUUUAAAGCAAAGCUAUAUAAUGUGCUGGUAUGCAUCACGUUUUUCAUGGAGACACAGUAACUGCACCAGUCUCUCUACCUUGGUUUUUGACUGGGUGUUUUUUUUAAGAACUUUUUUGUAUUUCAAGACUUCGGCUGAGCUUUCUACUUAAAAUGUAAUUGCAAAUCAGUGGUAUAAUUGUCUGUAGUCAAAGAAUGGGACAUUUAAGGUCAUUGGGAAGAUAAUGACCCAAUUGAAAUGGUUUUUUUUAGAAAAUCCGGGGGCGCUUAUUUACGUGGAGGGGUGUGUAUAUUCCUGAAAACAAUGAGUUAGUGAUAAGGGAUUCUUCACCCAACAGCUGGACUCAUUGUGUAGAGUUGUUCAGCUUUGUUCAUAUGCACUGAAGAGAAAUCUUUCACAGCAAUGUUAUUUGUAAUUCUACUGUUUUAUUUUUUAUUAGUUCUUGAUACUGUGAGUAAGUUUAAAGACAUCCCUUUAAGGCAAACAUAAAUAAAUUGGCUAAGGACUUCUCCCAGGAGAUUAGAGGGACACAUACAAAAGACUUGCAAAAAAAAAGGAAUAAAAAAUGAGGAACCUUGCAAAAUGACAAUUUUUUUUAUUACACCUAAAUCCUUUAAGUCUUUUUCAAAAGUGUCUUGCUCUGUAUCUGAACUGGAUAUAUUUUUAGACUGAUUUCAUGUGUUCAUCGGCAUUAGUUUAUAUUAUUUGUUUAAAAUUCCUUAUCUACAUUCACAAGUAUCAAUUUCUCUAGAAGUAGUGGACAUGCAUAUUUUAAAUUCUGCAUAACUGUACAGGAAAAGCAGCCUUAAAUGUAAAACCACUGACCUAAAUUGCUAGCAAAUGAAAAAUCCUUUAUUUCAAGCUGUUGUAUUAAGCUAUUUGUACUUCAUAUAAAUCUAUCAUUUUUUAAUACUGAAGUAACACUGUUGAGAAAGGAUUUUUCUAUUUUACUUAUGUCUCAGUGUUGGAACACUACCUAAGACAUGCGAAAAUCAAUCAAUAUGUAGUGUCAGAUCUGUAUGGUAUAGUAAUUAUUAAAGUAUUUAAAGUUGUUUAAACAAAUUAUUAAGGCAACAAGAAUCACUUCAACUUCUGCACAUAAUCACAAUACACUUCUUUGAAAUAAUAUAAAAAUCUAGAGGCUUGGUGUAGGUCUGCUUGGACUGUCCUGUACUAGUUUGCUUUGAGGUCACAAAAAUGUUCUAAAGGACUGCUUGGCUAUAUUUAUAGCAACAGAGAAUUCAACUG